GAAGAGUCACAAAACUAACUACAUAAAGUCAAACCGAUCAUAAACUGUACUAGUGUUUUUUUGAAUUUCUCACACAUAACUUAACCUAUAAGGUUUAUCAAACAACUACAAAGUAUUUUUUUGGUAAUGAACUCAAAAAUGCGUCUUCGUUGUGUCGUGUUAUUUGCAAUUUAUUCCUUUGGCCUCAUCAAGGGUCAAUGUCAAUUUUGUGCAUAAAAAAAUUAGACCGCUAAUUGCAAAAAUUAAAACAUUCUUUAUACACUGUGAAAAAAUCACACUCUGAGG